UAUAAACAAAUUUAUACAGUGAAACUGCGAAUGGCUCAUUAAAUCAGUUAUAGUUUAUUUGAUAAUACCUUACUACUUGGAUAACCGUGGUAAUUCUAGAGCUAAUACAUGCAUUACAAGCCCCGACUUCUGGAAGGGGUGUAUUUAUUAGAUAAAAAACCAACCCGGCAACGGUUCUUUGGUGAUUCAUGAUAACUUUUCGAAUCGCAUGGCUUUACGCCGGCGAUGGUUCAUUCAAAUUUCUGCCCUAUCAACUGUCGAUGGUAGGAUAGAGGCCUACCAUGGUUUUAACGGGUAACGGCGAAUUAGGGUUCGAUUCCGGAGAGGGAGCCUGAGAAACGGCUACCACAUCUAAGGAAGGCAGCAGGCGCGCAAAUUACCCAAUCCUGAUUCAGGGAGGUAGUGACAAUAAAUAACAAUCCAGGGCUUUUGUCUUGGAAUUGGAAUGAGAACAAUUUAAAUCCCUUAACGAGGAACAAUUGGAGGGCAAGUCUGGUGCCAGCAGCCGCGGUAAUUCCAGCUCCAAUAGCGUAUAUUAAAGUUGUUGCAGUUAAAUAGCUCGUAGUUGAAUUUUGGGCUCUGGGUGUUUUGGCGGUCUCGCUCCCCUUCGUGGGGGUGUGCACUGCCGGCCCGGCCCGUACCUUCUGGGGAACAUGCGUGCCCUUUACUGUGGUGCGCCAUGGGAGCCAGGACUUUUACUUUGAAAAAAUUAGAGUGUUUAAAGCGGGCAUGAUUUGCUUGAAUACAUUAGCAUGGAAUAAUAGAAUAGGACUUUGGUUCUAUUUUGUUGGUUUCUAGGACCAAAGUAAUGAUUAAUAGGGAUAGUUGGGGGCAUUAGUAUUUAAUUGUCAGAGGUGAAAUUCUUGGAUUUAUGAAAGACUAACUUCUGCGAAAGCAUUUGCCAAGGAUGUUUUCAUUAAUCAAGAACGAAAGUCAGGGGAUCGAAGACGAUCAGAUACCGUCGUAGUCUUGACCAUAAACUAUGCCGACUAGGGAUCGGACGGUGUUGUUAUAUGACCCGUUCGGCACCUUAUGAGAAAUCAAAGUCUUUGGGUACCC
rnacentral:rRNA from 1 species